UGCCAGCAGCCGCGGUAAUACGGAGGGUGCGAGCGUUAAUCGGAAUUACUGGGCGUAAAGCGCGCGUAGGUGGUCUGUUUAGUCGGAUGUGAAAGCCCUGAGCUUAACUCAGGAACUGCAUUCGAUACUGGAUCGCUAGAGUAUAUUAGAGGAUAGUGGAAUUUCAAGUGUAGCGGUGAAAUGCGUAGAUAUUUGAAGGAACACCAAUGGCGAAGGCAGCUAUCUGGAAUAAUACUGACGCUGAGGUACGAAAGCGUGGGGAGUAAAAGGGAUUAGAUA
rnacentral:rRNA from 1 species